AUUCCGUGGUGUGGGCAUGCUGCAAUGUAAUCCUAGAGAUGUUCCCAGGCUUUUGGGUUUGUCUCAUCCUAGUGUUGUUGAAAACUGGAAAUCCUGUUUCGAAGGGC